CCUACGGGAGGCAGCAGUGGGGAAUUUUGGACAAUGGGCGCAAGCCUGAUCCAGCCAUGCCGCGUGUGGGAAGAAGGCCUUCGGGUUGUAAACCACUUUUGUCAGGGAAGAAACGGCUCUUACUAAUAUUAGGAGCUAAUGACGGUACCUGAAGAAUAAGCACCGGCUAACUACGUGCCAGCAGCCGCGGUAAUACGUAGGGUGCAAGCGUUAAUCGGAAUUACUGGGCGUAAAGCGUGCGCAGGCGGCUUUGCAAGACAGAUGUGAAAUCCCCGGGCUCAACCUGGGAACUGCAUUUGUGACUGCAUGGCUAGAGUACGGUAGAGGGGGAUGGAAUUCCGCGUGUAGCAGUGAAAUGCGUAGAUAUGCGGAGGAACACCGAUGGCGAAGGCAAUCCCCUGGACCUGUACUGACGCUCAUGCACGAACGACGUGGGAGGACGAACAGAGUAGUAUACCUACGUAGUACGACCGACCCGUAACCGAAC
rnacentral:rRNA from 1 species